AAUUCGCCUCUCAAAAGCAAGGUGUUUAGGCAGUAAGGUUCACGGUAUACAGUCAUAUACAAUAAUAUGGCAUAUAAGGUACAUAAUAACAUUCUUCACUUAUGACUUUGGGCAUAGCACGCCACAAAUCUAACGCGUAGUUAUCAAUUACAGACUCCAAAUAGUCACAACACUAGUAGUAGUAGCUUCAAUCACCCCACAAUCAUAAUAUCAAAAUGUUAACAAAAGAAAAACAGGGGUAUGGUUGUAGUAUUAACACUAAACACUACCAUAUUUAUAUGCAGCGGCUGUCUUUAUUCUCCUCUUUCCAAUUGUUGCGAGCAAAACUCUCAAUUGUUGUCCACGAACAGCAAGUUUAGCAGACGAGCUAUGAUGUUGUUGUUACACCAACAACUACAUUACUCACCAACUUGCCACUCUCAUCGACAGACAUUGGGUUUUGGACGACAACAGUUUGAUUUUGUGAACGAGCCUUGGCAGUUGAAGAGGAUCCUGAAGCAGUAGUAGCAGUGCCGUUAGGAGGGUUCAAAGGUGCAUGGGCUCUUCCAUCUCCUGCAUUAACAUUGGUAAUAUAAUGGCAUACUGCACAUUUAACCGAUGGAGCUCCACAUGGAUACAUCAGCAUCAUACGGCAGUUCCCGCAGUAGACAUGAGCAAACUGGUUUGGACCUGGGACAAGGUUCACCGUAUGACAGCAGGAGCAUCUCACACUGUUCGCUCCACGUGGAUGCAUAAGUAAUGUACGACAGCCUCCACAUAUCAAUUGAGCCAUUUCCAUUCCAGGUGGUGGGACAGGGGUGAGUGCAUUGCACACUGCACAGCAGACAUUAGAAGCUCCUCUGGGAUAAAGAAGCAUUGUCCUGCACCCACUGCACAUCAACUGACUCUGCAUAUCUUUCAAUCUGUUUGAAUAUCGAGUCGUCUGAGGUAGAAGAGCUAAUUUCUGCCGAUCUGUGAGGUAAAUUUAUUCUUCCAGUCAAUGAACAAAUCUGGAAGAUAGGGUACCCCUCUAUUAUAAUAUAUA
rnacentral:misc_RNA from 1 species